UGUAGACGAUCGAUAGCGUUACAGAAGAGAGGCAGGGGCUACCUAGCUAGGGAUUGCACGCUCUCGAUCUUUUGAUCAUCACCAAUGGGGUCUGCACUGUUGUCGAUGGUGCGGAUGAUGAAGCCGAAGAAGGACGGCGCGCCGCCCGCUUUCGUGCACGACCUGCCGCACCACGGGACGACGGCGGCUCCUUGCCGCCAGCGCACUGAAGAGGAGCGCGACGCGUCCAUCAUCUGCCAUGUCCACCACGCCCUCCGCCACUACAACGCCACCAACCCGGGCUCGGAGUUCGUCCCCGUCAAGCCUCUCAUGGCCGCGUACGUGGGCUUCCAAAGCCACAUCUAGGUCCACGUCAGCUUCAUUGCUCGCAGGAAGAAGAUCGCCAGCAGCAAACGGAGGCGCAACCAGGCCAACGACGCGGACAAGACCUUCUUCGCCGAGCUGCGCUACAGCCACCACCACUCAGGCGCGCCGGCCGUUGAAACAUGCGCCAUCAUCGAGAAAUCGUCGCGCAAAAGUCACUUGAAGACCGCGUGUGCAUUUUGCCCCGAGAGCUUUCAGAUUUUGCACCCACUUGACGGGAGCUUCAUGUGCGGAAAGAAGUGCCAGGCAAACGAAGGCCAGGGUUUCAUAUAUUUCACGAACCUGCUUGAGUUACUGUUCACAUGCCCCACGGCCAGUGGACCCGGCAAGGAGGAUGCAGCAGCGCCAAAGAAGGAGGAGGAGGAGCAUAGUAGCGUCCUGAGCUGGGCCGCCCUCCCCUUUCAUUUUCUCGGUAAUCUUAUUACAAGGGUUUUACCGGCCUUUGAUGAUAAGCAUAUGGACUAGAUCAGGGGCAAAGCUAGCGAGAAGUUAAUGCAAUGGGUUCAAUUAAAACACAAUGAAGAGUGAUGUAUGGUAAUAGCAAGGCCACGUAUCAGACUGACAGAUUUUGAAGUUGAUGUAUGAGAUUAAACUUGCGACAACCUUUUAUAAGUAAAAUACAUAGAACCACCACUUUCGCGCGUCAUAGCUCUCGAAAAACCAU